AACGGAAAUCGUUUCAUCACCACCACCCCAUUAAUCCAUCUCUGCGCCAUGAAUUCUUCUUUAAUUGCAAGACCUCUGUUUCCGGCGAUCUUACCUCCGCGAAGUUGAUCAACUCCGCCGGUGAGCCUGUGAACCGUUCCUCUGAAACCGCCGAUUCCUCUGUCGUAGCUAGGCCAAAAAGAGGCAUAACUGAUGACUCCUCCGCCAACGCUGUCGCCGGUGUUGUGGGAAAACCAUUUAGAUUUUAUUAAUGUGGAAUCAAGAACCAUCCCGACAAGGGUGGAGAUCCUGAGAAGUUCAAAGAGCUAGCACAGGCGUAUGAAGUUCUGAGCGACCCAGAGAAGAGAGAGAUAUAUGAUGAGUACGGAGAGGAUGCACUGAAGGAAGGAAUGGGUGGUGGAGGAGGUGGGCAUGACCCUUUUGAUAUCUUCUCAUCUUCUUUGGCGGUGGCAGCCCCUUUGGAGGUGGUAGCAGCAGAGGAGGCAGAGGCGUGGUGAAGAUGUUGUUCUGAUCUCACAAAUACA